rnacentral:misc_RNA from 1 species
GAUGAAGAACGUAGCGAAAUGCGAUAAGUAAUGUGAAUUGCAGAAUUCAGUGAAUCAUCGAAUCUUUGAACGCACAUUGCGCCCGCCAGUAUUCUGGCGGGCAUGCCUGUUCGAGCGUCAUUUCAACCAUCAAGCCCCCGGCUUGUGUUGGGGACCUGCGGCUGCCGCAGGCCCUGAAAUGCAGUGGCGGGCUCGCUGUCACUCCGAGCGUAGUAGUUACAUCUCGCUCUGGGCGUGCUGCGGGUUCCGGCCGUUAAAAGCCUUAUUUACCCAAGGUUGACCUCGGAUCAGGUAGGAAGACCCGCUGAACUUAAGCAUAUCAAUAAGCGGAGGAU